rnacentral:misc_RNA from 1 species
UCCUAGUUAACCUAGGCAGUCUCGUUAGAGUCCCCACCAUUACGUGUUGGUAACUAACGACAAGGGUUGCGCUCGUUGCGGGACUUAACCCAACACCUCACGGCACGAGCUGACGACAGCCAUGCAGCACCUGUAUAAAGGCCCUUGCGGGAAACUCUAUCUCUAGAGCGGUCCUAUAUAUGUCAAGCCUGGGUAAGGUUCUUCGCGUUGCAUCGAAUUAAACCACAUGCUCCACUGCUUGUGCGGGCCCCCGUCAAUUCUUUUGAGUUUCACCCUUGCGGGCGUACUCCCCAGGUGGCAUACUUAACGCGUUAGCUACGGCACAGUCGGGGUUGAGUCCAACUACACCAAGUAUGCAUCGUUUACGGCAAGGACUAC